AUUGAACGCUGGCGGCAUGCCUUACACAUGCAAGUCGAACGGCAGCACGGGAGCAAUCCUGGUGGCGAGUGGCGAACGGGUGAGUAAUAUAUCGGAACGUGCCCAGUCGUGGGGGAUAACGUAGCGAAAGCUACGCUAAUACCGCAUACGAUCUAUGGAUGAAAGCGGGGGAUCGCAAGACCUCGCGCGAUUGGAGCGGCCGAUAUCAGAUUAGGUAGUUGGUGAGGUAAAGGCUCACCAAGCCGGACGAUCUGUAGCUGGUCUGAGAGGACGACCAGCCACACUGGGACUGAGACACGGCCCAGACUCCUACGGGAGGCAGCAGUGGGGGAAUUUUUGGACAAUGGGCGCAAGCCUGAUCCAGCAAUGCCGCGUGCAGGAUGAAGGCCUCGGUUGUAACUAGCUUUGUACGUACGAACGGUAGAG
rnacentral:rRNA from 1 species